AUCCAGACAGAGGUAAUAAUCAGGUUAUUGAUCCAGACAGAGGUAAUAAUCAGGUUAUUGAUCCAGACAGAGGUAAUAAUCAGGUUAUUGAUCCAGACGGAGGAGAGGUAAUAAUCAGGUUAUUGAUCCAGACGGAGGUAAUAAUCAGGUUAUUGAUCCAGACGGAGGAGAGGUAAUAAU